CCCACUUCAAAAUUUCGGUGAGUUGUGUGACGCCUAUAUUUAAUUUUUUCCACCCAAUCUCAAAAGCCUCUUUAUUGGCACUAUACCAAUUCAAAGUCACGGUCAGGGAUCCAGAUCUCACAAAUAUCUCUCUCCAUCUCUGUAUAUCUGUAUCUCUCUCAUUCCUCCUCGCUGUCGGCGGCCGAUCAUGUCACUCAUCUCACUACUACAGACACCGCCGAGACCACCGGACCUGACGUUCAAGAUGAAGAUGACAAGAAGACAUCUCUUCAUGUAGCAGCGAGUUGAGGUAAUGUAGAUAUCAUGAAAGAAAUAUUAUCAAGCUGUCCAGAUUGUUAGGAAAUGAUCAACACUAGAGCCCAAAAUAUCCUUCACAUAGCAGUACAGUAUGAUGAAGACGAAACAAUCAAAUUUAUCUCAGAAAAUCCCUUUGGCAAAAAGCUUAUCAAUGAGAAAGACGCCUAUGUGAAGGAUAUUCUGGGCUCUAGUGUUUCCCAGCAAUCUGGACAGCGUGAUAAUAUUUCUUUCAUGACAUCUACAUUACUUUACACAUCUUCACAUUGCUGCUAAUCAUUCCAACUACUGGAAGUAUUGGGGACUUUUCAACCUUUGGAAUGAAAUGGCCUUCAAUAAGAAAAACUGACUGUAGAAGAAAAAGAGGAUCCAGAUCUCACGGUAAGGAUGCAUACUUAUCUACCUUGUCUAUUGUGAAAUUUUUUUCCUUACAUAUAUUCCAUAUAUACAAUAAAAAAGAACUUUAGGAAUUUUUGAUCAUGUUAUUAAAAAAGAUAAUGUUCGUAAUUUUGUGGGCACCCAGGCGUAUUUAUUAGGAGUGUUCAAAUAAUCCAUCAAUUUGCUAAACUGAACUGAUCCGGUCUGAUCCGAUCUGUGCGGUUUGGUUUGGUUUUCUAGUGUUAUGGUUUGGUGAUGGAUUGAAAAUUUAGUAAUCCGUAGUGAUCGGAUCGGUUAACGGAUUAGGUGCUGAAAAAACCGAUCCGUAAAUUGAUUUGUGGCCAAUCCGUAGAACUAAUAUACAUAUAUUAUAUAAUAUAUAUAGUAUACAGUAUAUGCAUAAUACACUAUUGAUGUUUUUGUUUUCUUUAAUCAUUAAGUUUUCAAAAGUUUUAUUGUUUUACGAAUCCAAGAUGCUUUAUUACUUUGUGGCUUAGUGUUUUACACUUUUUAGUUUUUGUAUUCCUUUCAUUUGCAUACGCCUCUGACGUCUCAUCUGGUCUCACAAACUCACUGCUCUGCUCACAGUCUCUCAUGGAAGGCCCAGGUUACCCGAUACUCUCGGUCUCUUAUGGAACCCAGACAAGUAAGCAUAUCCAAAUUAUAUUGGCCGAUCAUUUCCUCUUCAUCUACAUCUAAUUUCCAGUGAGUUCAUAAGGCCCUGCUUGGAAUGAAACUCCCAAAACAAUUCUUCAAUUUUUUAGUCUACUUGGCACCUGUUUUAUGAAAACUGUUUUCAUAAAAUUGAGUUCAAUGAGUAUCAGUUUUAUGAGAACAACAAAAUGUUGUUUUGGGAGUUUCCAAAACAAAGUGAAAACACGGAGAAGCAAUGUGGAGAACACUCUGCACUUUAAAAAAAAACGGAAGCGGCCUAUCUCAGAGAUAACACACCUUUUACGCCUCUUCCAAAACGGGCUUUGCAACAUCUCUCUCCUCUCUACGGCUUCUCUCUCCCCUCUACGGCUUCUCUCUGCAAGAUCGUUGCACUUCUCUCCUCUAGAUCCAACUCUUGCUCAAAUUUUAUUGAGGUAAACACAAAUCACUCUUUUUUCUGUAGCAAGUUUUUGUGUUUAUGGAUUUUGUUUUCUUUAUGAUUUUGGUUAUAGAUUUGGUUGGUUGGAUGAGUUUGGUUGCAGAUUUGAUUAUGUAUUUUGUUGGUUGUGUGAGUUUUGUUGUAGAUUUGAUUUUCAGUUUAGGGAUUUGGGGUUUUCAGUUUAGGGAUUUGGUUUUUAGUUUAGUUUAGGGAUUUGGGGUUUUCAGUUUAGGGAUUUGGUUUUUAGUUUAGUUUAGGGAUUUGGGGUUUUCAGUUUAGGGAUUUGGUUUUCGAUUUAGGGAUUUCUAGUCAUUGAUUUCUUGGUAGGUACCCUACUGAAUAGGGUUUUAGAAUGCCUUAUGAUAUGUUGGCUGAUGAAUGAAUUCUUUAUACUCUUUGUUAUCCUGAUAUGUUUUUUUGCUGACUUUUUACUUUGCAAUUACUAUUUUCAGUUUGUUGCUUUGUUACUUUAGUUCGCUUAUGUUUUAUGUUUGUUUCUACUAUUUCUCUUGUUAGCUUUUGUUUGGUUUGUUUUCUGUAUGGCUAGCUCAGCCUUGUUCUUGUAAUUUUCUCAAUAUAAAUAUUUCUAAAUUUAAUAAUUACCUUGUGCAUUCCUCUAACAUCAUUUGGUAUAAUUACCUUGUGCAUUAACAUAUUUCUAAACUCAUGUUUUGGACGAACCCAUAUAUAUAUAUUUAGUUCUCUUUAUUUAUUAAUUUUCGACAAACUAUUUUACACAUCAUAGAUUCAACUUCAACAUGUCAAUCAACGAAAAAUAAAAAUAAAAUAAAAUAUUUUACCUAAAAAUAUAUAUAUUUUUCAAGAAAAAUAUUUUUGACAAUAACAUUUGGUUUCAAAAUUAUAUUGUGAGUUGGAGCAUAAUGUAGAAAACAAGUUGCAUAUACCAUUUUAAAGUAAUUCGAUACCCAUAUUAUAUUCUCUCUCCCUCUGAAACCCAUCUCUAUAUCCUCGUGAGUCAUGUUCUCAAAUUAAUUUUGUUUUAUGAGUUUUAUUAAAAUGUGAUCAUCAUUUCUAAUUGCUUUCGAUACUAAUAUCCCGUAACUCUAAAAUUUACUUCACGUACGUCAGAGAUAUUGAGUGGAUGAUGCAUACUAUGUCAUCAAAUUAAGUUAAAAAUUUUAAAAGUGACUUUAACUAAGAAGGAUAAAUAUUUUUUUACGUGCUAACAAGUGGUAAUGGGUUAAUAGCAAAUUCUUGAGUCUAUUUGAAGUUACUGUUAUAAUGGGAAAAACGUUUUUAUUAAUAAAAUUGUCAUAAAAGUGGUGUUAGUAAAAUGUAUGUCAGAUAUUUGAUGAUGCACAUUUAAAGCACUUUUAUAUUUAUUUGAUAAUAAUAUUAUUUAAAUCGCUUUUAUUAAUAAUUUUUAUUAUAUUAUCCCACAAUAGUUGGGAUGAAUUGAAAUUCCAACUUUUUAUGGAAGUAUUAUUUAUUAAACGAGUGAAGUUUCAUUUUUAUCCUUGUAAAAAUGAUAUAACUCCUACUACUAACUAUUGAAGUCUUCACUGUGCAGAGAUUUAGUCAAAUUUUAAAACAUAAUUCAAUUGGUGGGAAAUUACUCCGUAUUUCAUUCUGUG